GGUUUGUUUGUUUACGUUUAAAAGCAAAGUAAGUUUUACCAGUUUUACUACUGGUUUAGACAAACAAAUUGGUUAUUUACACAUUUUUUGGUAUGCCUCAAGUCCAUAGAUAGUAUGUAGAAUUUCAAUUUAUGCCUGGAGAAGUUCAAAUGGAAGAUGAAGCUGAGACUUUGACAUUCCAGGCCAAGAUUGCUCAGCUUAUGAGCUUGAUUAUCAACACCUUCUAUAGUUGAUCUCCAACUGCUCAGAUGCCCUAGACAAGAUCCAUUAUGAAUCCCUGACUGACCCAAGCAAGUUGGACAGCGGCAAGGAUCUUAAAAUCAAGA